UACGGGGGGGGCAAGCGUUGUUCGGAAUUACUGGGCGUAAAGGGCUCGUAGGCGGCCAACUAAGUCAGACGUGAAAUCCCUCGGCUUAACCGGGGAACUGCGUCUGAUACUGGAUGGCUUGAGAUUGGGAGAGGGAUGCGGAAUUCCAGGUGUAGCGGUGAAAUGCGUAGAUAUCUGGAGGAACCCCAGAGGCGAAGGCGGCGCCCUGGCUCGCAACUGACGCUCAGACACGACAGCAUGGGGAGCGAACGGG
rnacentral:rRNA from 1 species